rnacentral:rRNA from 1 species
UAAUGGGUCAGCGACUUAUAUUCUGUAGCAAGGUUAACCGUAUAGGGGAGCCGAAGGGAAACCGAGUCUUAACUGGGCGUUAAGUUGCAGGGUAUAGACCCGAAACCCGGUGAUCUAGCCAUGGGCAGGUUGAAGGUUGGGUAACACUAACUGGAGGACCGAACCGACUAAUGUUGAAAAAUUAGCGGAUGACUUGUGGCUGGGGGUGAAAGGCCAAUCAAACCGGGAGAUAGCUGGUUCUCCCCGAAAGCUAUUUAGGUAGCGCCUCGUGAAUUCAUCUUCGGGGGUAGAGCACUGUUUCGGCUAGGGGGUCAUCCCGACUUACCAACCCGAUGCAAACUGCGAAUACCGAAGAAUGUUAUCACGGGAGACACACGGCGGGUGCUAACGUCCGUCGUGAAGAGGGAAACAACCCAGACCGCCAGCUAAGGUCCCAAAGUCAUGGUUAAGUGGGAAACGAUGUGGGAAGGCACAGACAGCCAGGAUGUUGGCUUAGAAGCAGCCAUCAUUUAAAGAAAGCGUAAUAGCUCACUGGUCGAGUCGGCCUGCGCGGAAGAUGUAACGGGGCUAAACCAUGCACCGAAGCUGCGGCAGCGACACUAUGUGUUGUUGGGUAGGGGAGCG